UACGAAGGGGGCUAGCGUUGCUCGGAAUCACUGGGCGUAAAGCGCACGUAGGCGGAUCUUUAAGUCAGGGGUGAAAUCCUGGAGCUCAACUCCAGAACUGCCUUUGAUACUGGGGAUCUCGAGUCCGGAAGAGGUGAGUGGAACUCCGAGUGUAGAGGUGAAAUUCGUAGAUAUUCGGAAGAACACCAGUGGCGAAGGCGGCUCACUGGUCCGGUACUGGCGCUGAGGUGCGAAAGCGUGGGGAGCAAACAGG
rnacentral:rRNA from 1 species